rnacentral:rRNA from 1 species
AGAGAACGCUGGCGGUAGGCCUAACACAUGCAAGUCGAACGGCAGCACAGUAAGAGCUUGCUCUUACGGGUGGCGAGUGGCGGACGGGUGAGGAAUACAUCGGAAUCUACUUUUUCGUGGGGGAUAACGUAGGGAAACUUACGCUAAUACCGCAUACGACCUACGGGUGAAAGCAGGGGAUCUUCGGACCUUGCGCGAUUGAAUGAGCCGAUGUCGGAUUAGCUAGUUGGCGGGGUAAAGGCACACCAAGGCGACGAUCCGUAGCUGGUCUGAGAGGAUGAUCAGCCACACUGGAACUGAGACACGGUCCAGACUCCUACGGGAGGCAGCAGUGGGGAAUAUUGGACAAUGGGCGCAAGCCUGAUCCAGCCAUACCGCGUGGGUGAAGAAGGCCUUCGGGUUGUAAAGCCCUUUUGUUGGGAAAGAAAAGCAGCAGGUUAAUACCCCGCUGUUCUGACGGUACCCAAAGAAUAAGCACCGGCUAACUUCGUG